UCAAGCGAAGAAGGGCAUACGGUGGAUGCCUUGGCACUAAGAGCCGAAGAAGGACGCGGUAAGCUGCGAAAAGCUACGACGAGCUGCAAGCAAGCUGAGACUCGUAGAUAUCCGAAUGGGAAAACCUGUAUGGAGUAAUAUUCAUACAUCCUGUAAUGAAUCCAUAGUUACAGGAAGGCAACCUGGGGAACUGAAACAUCUAAGUACCCAGAGGAAGAGAAAGAAAAAUCGAUUCCCUCAGUAGCGGCGAGCGAAGCGGGAAGAGCCCAAACCAACUCUUAGGAGUUGGGGUUGUAGGACUCUCAGAAUUGAUGGAUGCUUAGUCGAAUGGUCUGGGAAGGCCAAUCAUAGAAGGUAAGAAUCCUGUAGACGAAAAGCAGAAAGAGAGGAGAGUAUCCUGAGUACCACGAGGCACGUGAAAUCUAGUGGGAAGCAGGGGGGCCCAUCCCCCAAGGCUAAAUACUCCUUAGUGACCGAUAGAGAACAAGUACCGUGAGGGAAAGGUGAAAAGAACCCCGGGAGGGGAGUGAAAAGAACCUGAAACCGGAUGCUUACAAGCUGUCACAGCACAAUAGUAGUGUAGUGGCGUACUUUUUGUAGAACGGACCUGCGAGUUGCGUUAUGAAGCGAGGUUAAGGAGGGAAUCCGGAGCCGAAGCGAAAGCGAGUCUGAAGAGGGCGAAAGUUUUAUGACGCAGACCCGAAACCGGGUGAUCUACCCAUGAGCAGGAUGAAGCGUUAGUAAAAUAACGUGGAGGUCCGAACCAGGCAUCGUUGAAAAGAUGUUGGAUGACUUGUGGGUAGGGGUGAAAUUCCAAUCGAACUCGGAGAUAGCUGGUUCUCCUCGAAAUAGCUUUAGGGCUAGCCUUAAUUAGAUAACUUAUGGAGGUAGAGCACUGAAUGGACUAGGGGGCUUCACCGCCUACCGAAUCUUAUCAAACUGCGAAUGCCAUAAGUAAGAGAUUAGGAGUCAGACUGUGGGGGAUAAGCUUCAUGGUCAAAAGGGAAACAGCCCAGACCGCCAGUUAAGGUCCCAAAAUAAUGAUUAAGUGGAAAACGAUGUGAAAUCGCUCAGACAACCAGGAUGUUGGCUCAGAAGCAGCCACCAUUUAAAGAGUGCGUAAUAGCUCACUGGUCCAGGGGUUUUGCGCGGAAAAUGUAACGGGGCUCAAAUCAUUUACCGAAGCUGCGGAAUGUGUGAGAGCACAUUGGUAGAGGAGCGUUCUUAACACGGAGAAGGCAUACCGGAAGGAGUGCUGGAGAGUUAAGAAGUGAGAAUGCAGGUAUAAGUAUGCGAAAAGGCAGGUGAGAAUCCUGCCCGCCGAAAAUCUAAGGAUUCCUGGGGAAGGCUCGUCCGCCCAGGGUAAGUCGGGACCUAAGGCGAGGCCGAAAGGCGUAGUUGAUGGAAAACUGGUAGAUAUUCCAGUACCACCUAAUAUUGCAUGAGAGAAGUAGUGACGCAGAAGGAUAGGCAGAGCGCCCAGUUGGUGAGGCGUUUAAGUAAGUAGGGUAUCAGAUAGGGAAAACCGUCUGAUGAGGAGCCUGAGAUACGAAUACGAGGGAAAAAAAGUACCGAAGUCGCUGAUUCCCGGCUGCCAAGAAAAGCUGCUAUCGAGAUAGAGGGUGCCCGUACCGCAAACCGACACAGGUAGAUGGGGUGAGAAACCUAAGGCGCGCGAGAAAACUCUUGUUAAGGAACUCGGCAAAAUGACCCCGUAACUUCGGGAGAAGGGUUGCUUAUCAUGGUGAAGGUAGAACAACUGGAGCUGAGAUAAGUCGCAGAGAAAAGGUCCAGGCGACUGUUUAGCAAAAACACAGGUCAUUGCAAAAGUGAAAGCUGAAGUAUAAUGGCUGACGCCUGCCCGGUGCUGGAAGGUUAAGGGGAAGAGUGAGAGCUUUGAACCGAAGCCCCAGUAAACGGCGGCCGUAACUAUAACGGUCCUAAGGUAGCGAAAUUCCUUGUCGGGUAAGUUCCG
rnacentral:rRNA from 1 species